AGAGUUUGAUCCUGGCUCAGGAUGAACGCUGGCGGCGUGCUUAACACAUGCAAGUCGAACGAGGUAAGAUGAUCUUUUCGGAGUGAGCCUUACCGAGUGGCGGACGGGUGAGUAACGCGUGGGUAACCUGCCUCAUACAGGGGGAUAACAGUUAGAAAUGACUGCUAAUACCGCAUAAGCGCACAGUACCGCAUGGUACGGUGUGAAAAACUCCGGUGGUAUGAGAUGGACCCGCGUCUGAUUAGCUAGUUGGUGAGGUAACGGCUCACCAAGGCGACGAUCAGUAGCCGACCUGAGAGGGUGACCGGCCACAUUGGGACUGAGACACGGCCCAAACUCCUACGGGAGGCAGCAGUGGGGAAUAUUGGUCAAUGGUCGAGAGACUGAACCAGCCAAGUCGCGUGAGGGAUGACUGCCCUAUGGGUUGUAAACCUCUUUUGUUUGGGAAGAAUAAGUUUUACGUGUAGAACGAUGCCGGUACCAAACGAAUAAGCAUCGGCUAACUCCGUGCCAGCAGCCGCGGUAAUACGGGGGAUGCAAGCGUUAUCCGGAUUUAUUGGGUUUAAAGGGUGCGUAGGCGGCUUAUUAAGUCAGCGGUGAAAUUUAGGGGCUCAACCUCUACCGUGCCGUUGAUACUGGUAUGCUGGAAUGCGGAUGCCGUGGGAGGAAUGUGUGGUGUAGCGGUGAAAUGCAUAGAUAUCACACAGAACACCGAUUGCGAAGGCAUCUCACGAAUCCGCUAUUGACGCUGAUGCACGAAAGCGUGGGGAUCAAACAGGAUUAGAUACCCUGGUAGUCCACGCUGUAAACGAUGAUGACUAACCGUCGGCGAUACACAGUCGGUGGCCAAGCGAAAGCGAUAAGUCAUCCACCUGGGGAGUACGUUCGCAAGAAUGAAACUCAAAGGAAUUGACGGGGGCCCGCACAAGCGGAGGAACAUGUGGUUUAAUUCGAUGAUACGCGAGGAACCUUACCCGGGCUCGAACGGCAGAUGAAUUGAGUAGAGAUAUUCAAGUCUUCGGACAUCUGUCGAGGUGCUGCAUGGUUGUCGUCAGCUCGUGCUGUGAAGUGUCGGCUUAAGUGCCAUAACGAGCGCAACCCUUGCCAUUAGUUGCCAUCAGGUUAAGCUGGGGACUCUAGUGGGACUGCCACCGCAAGGUGUGAGGAAGGGGGGGAUGACGUCAAAUCAGCACGGCCCUUACGUCCGGGGCGACACACGUGUUACAAUGGUGGGUACAGAGGGAAGCUACCUGGCGACAGGAUGCAGAUCUCGAAAACCCAUCCCAGUUCGGACUGGAGUCUGCAACCCGACUCCACGAAGUUGGAUUCGCUAGUAAUCGCGCAUCAGCCAUGGCGCGGUGAAUACGUUCCCGGGCCUUGUACACACCGCCCGUCAAG
rnacentral:rRNA from 1 species